rnacentral:rRNA from 1 species
GACGAACGCUGGCGGCGUGCCUAACACAUGCAAGUCAAAGAAAAGCGACUUCGGUCGUCGUACUUGGCGCAAGGGUGAGUAAUGUAUAGGUAAUCUGCCUUUUGGACUGGGAUAACCCCGAGAAAUCGGGGACAAUACCAGAUGAUGCAGCGGAAUCGCAUGGUUAUGUUGUUAAAGAUUUAUCGCCAAAAGAUGAGCCUAUAUCCCAUCAGGUAGUUGGUAAGGUAACGGCUUACCAAGCCUACGACGGGUAGCUGGUCUGAGAGGAUGAUCAGCCACAUUGGAACUGAGACACGGUCCAGACUCCUACGGGAGGCAGCAGUGAGGAAUAUUGCGCAAUGGGCGAAAGCCUGACGCAGCAACGCCGCGUGGAUGAUGAGGUUCUUCGGAAUGUAAAAUCCUUUUGCAGGGGACGAACAGGUCGGCUUGCCGGCUGUGACGGUACCCUGCGAAUAAGCCACGGCUAACUCUGUGCCAGCAGCCGCGGUGAUACAGGGGUGGCAAGCGUUGUCCGGAUUUACUGUGUGUAAAGGGUGCGCAGGCGGAUCAAUAAGUCGGGGGUUAAAUCCAUGUGCUUAACACAUGCACGGCUUCCGAUA